UGGGGAAUAUUGCACACUGGGCGCAAGCCUGAUGCAGCCAUGCCGCGUGUGUGAAGAAGGCCUUCGGGUUGUAAAGCACUUUCAGCGGGGAGGAAGGCGAUAAGGUUAAUAACCUUGUCGAUUGACGUUACCCGCAGAAGAAGCACCGGCUAACUCCGUGCCAGCAGCCGCGGUAAUACGGAGGGUGCAAGCGUUAAUCGGAAUUACUGGGCGUAAAGCGCACGCAGGCGGUCUGUCAAGUCGGAUGUGAAAUCCCCGGGCUCAACCUGGGAACUGCAUUCGAAACUGGCAGGCUAGAGUCUUGUAGAGGGGGGUAGAAUUCCAGGUGUAGCGGUGAAAUGCGUAGAGAUCUGGAGGAAUACCGGUGGCGAAGGCGGCCCCCUGGACAAAGACUGACGCUCAGGUGCGAAAGCGUGGGGAGCAAACAGG
rnacentral:rRNA from 1 species